UACGUAGGGGGCAAGCGUUGUCCGGAUUUAUUGGGCGUAAAGAGCGUGUAGGCGGCCAGACAGGUCCGUUGUGAAAACUCGAGGCUUAACCUCGAGAUGUCAUCGGAAACCAUCUGGCUAGAGUCCGGAAGAGGAAAGUGGAAUUCCUGGUGUAGCGGUGAAAUGCGCAGAUAUCAGGAAGAACACCAAUGGCGAAAGCAGCUUUCUGGGACGGUACUGACGCUGAGACGCGAAAGCGUGGGGAGCGAACAGG
rnacentral:rRNA from 1 species